CGCCUGGGGAGUGCGGUCGCAAGACUAACUCAAGAUGACGACCCGCACAGCGCGAGCAUGCGCUAUCGAUGAUACCGUAGACUACUGACUAGACUAAGGGAAAGCUAUAGAAAUAUAGUGUGCGUAGCGCCUAUACAGGUGGUGCAUGGCUGUCGUCAGCUCGUGUCGUGAGAUGUUGGGUUAAGUCCCGCAACGAGCGCAACCCUGUCUAAGUUGCCAGCAAGUAUUUGGGGACUCAUAGGAGACUGCCG
rnacentral:rRNA from 1 species